GGAGGAUUAGUGUAACGGUUUCACACGAGGGACUUUGACUCCCUAAUAGGCAGUUCAACUCUGUCAUCCUCUA
rnacentral:tRNA from 1 species